AGCUUUGCACAGUGGCAGUAUCGUAGCCAAUGAGGUGUAUCUGAGGCACGAAUAUUGCUAAUUGAAAUUACCCCAUGCAUAUAGUCAGACCAUACUGCAAUAAAAUUGCAAAUCAAU
ensembl:snRNA U4 U4 spliceosomal RNA